UAUCCGUAAAAAAGCCACAUAAACUCGAAUCAAUCCAGAUCCAGCCCACCCUUAUCGAACGAUAAAUACGCACUUCAUCGUCCAUCCCAAUCCAUUCAUUCCUUUGGCGUAUUAACACUUAUCCCUCCAACCCCAAUAUCCCUAUAUAUAUAUUAUCUCAUCUGGCCGGUACUCUGUCCUCAAACACAAACCGUUUUUCUCAAAUUCAGGCCUUUGUAUAAAUAAGCCAUUCUCGAUCCUUCCCCUUUCACUCUCUCCAUCUCCUCCUCUCUAGUCUCUUCAAACCAACAUCAACAUGGCCGACUUCGUAUCGGAUACCACCUGGCACAGUCCAAACAAGGAAAUGGAGGACUCAACAACCUUCGAUAUGAGUUCGCUCAGAACCAAUCUUCCUCAAAACAGAAAAGGGCUGUCGAGGUACUACUCGGGGAAAUCCCGAUCGUUCUCGUGUAUGGCUGGCGUUGAGUGUGUUGAAGAUCUGAAGAAGCAACAACUCAUCCCUGAUGCCAAGAGGAAGAAAUAUUCUGAGAGACAGAGACAGGGAUUGAUCUUUCCUCCGUUUUCAUGCCGAAGAAUAUCAAGUAGCAACCAAUGUGCUACGCCUUGUAUCGGUGCUUGAGAACCACGCCCAAGCAGGAAAAUAAACAAGCAACCUUUUUCAUCUUUUGUUCUUCUUCUUCUUCCUUUUUUUUUUUUUCUUCCUCCACAUUUUAGUCUUGAUGGGGGGGUUUUCUAUGUUGAAUCUUCUGUAAAUUAUUUAUGCCGGUUUCCAGAUAUACAGGUUAGAACAGCCAAUUAAUUUAGUGUUUUGUCUCACAGGAAUGUAGUUAUGAAAGGGUAAAAUUUAACCUGGUUUACAAAUUA